GACGCCAUUGUUGCUGUUGCUUGCUGCUGAUUACUGAGCGUCUUCUUUAAGUAAAUUAAAGUGAUAUAUUAAUCAGAAAACGUGAUUUUAGUGUUAAUAUAUAUUUUCGUAAUGUGAUUUUCAAGAAAUUAUAAAAAGUUCUCAUUGACAAAGUGUAUAAAACUUUAUUUCUCGAUAAAAGUAUGUUCGCGCCAGUCGUGUGAACCCCGUAGCACAUUGUUCCUUGUAACGUUUUCUCACUUUUCUCUGCACAUAUUUUUAGUUAAAAUGUUGAUGAUUCAGUAAUAUUUCUUGACAAUUGAGUAAAUCGGAUCAUAAUUGUGUUGUGCAAGUGUAAAUAAUUACUACAUCAAAGUUAUCUACUGAUAUUUGUCAAGAUUCAUAUCCUCAAUUGCUUGUGGUGUUACGUACUUCAAAGAUAAGGGCCAAGAAUGUGAACACAAAAAUCCACAACAGACUUUUUAGAACUCGGUCUAUUUUUACGGUUAAUUUUCACAUUUUCCGAAAUGGAAAUUUAACUUGAAAGUAGGGAUCUCCGAGGGCUAUUUAGUUUGAAAUAAUCUCCUUGAAGUUGAAAAUUCGUCAUUAAAAAAUCUUUGAGAAAGAGAACGAAAAAAAAAGAAGAAUGAGAGAGAGCAUACAACCACGUUUCAUUUAACUAACAAGGAGUGUUCGAAAUCUUCAAAAAUCGCGAUCGCUUUUAGAAAACGUGUUUUGUUUCUUCGUAUA